UCCCCUUCAGGGUCACACCUGGAGAGUUUUCAGGACUCUACCAGUGUCGACUGUGGGAGGAAGAAUCAAGCAGAGACCUAUCUAUUCCAUUCCUAGCUUGGGCUUUGGCUAGUGAGUGGAAGGCAAUCUGUUACAAGU